rnacentral:rRNA from 1 species
UACGUAGGGUGCAAGCGUUGUCCGGAAUUAUUGGGCGUAAAGAGCUCGUAGGCGGUCUGUCGCGUCGGCUGUGAAAACCCGGGGCUCAACCCCGGGCCUGCAGUCGAUACGGCAGACUAGAGUGCGGUAGGGAGACUGGAAUUCCUGGUGUAGCGGUGAAAUGCGCAGAUAUCAGGAGGAACACCGGUGGCGAAGGCGGGUCUCUGGACCGAUACUGACGCUGAGGAGCGAAAGCGUGGGGAGCGAACAGG